ensembl:lncRNA
GGAAGGGAUGGAAGAGAGCUAUGAGACAUUUGAAGAGGAGUUAAGGCCACCAAGAGCAGUACCUCCUCCACAGAAGCCUGUUCCGCAGAUCCUCAGAACAGAAAUGAGCACUACAAGAAAAUUCAAAGAGGAAAUUCCUACGUUUUCACAACCAGUUAGAGCGGAACCCAAGAUUUUACUCAGGGAGCCGAGCCUCCCCCGAACAACCUUACGUAAAGCUUCGUCCAUCCAGAACUUGACCCAGAUUGAAACGCCUUGGGAGAACGUCACCCUCAACCGCUGUCUGUUUGUGGCCAUCUCCAUCCUGGUGGUGACCUCAGGCUUUCAGAAGCUUCAUGAAAGCCUGCGUGGUCAGAGGGCAGCAGAGGAGGAAGACGUUGGACUGACAGUGAGACGGACCGGCAGACUACGACACAGUAGACCACCACCAGAGCCCGAGACCACACUGUGGGAGGUCAUGUCACAGUGGCUACCAGACCUCGACGAUGAAGAGGACGAGGAGGACGAUGACGCCGAUGAGGGAGGAGGCAAAGUGAAAAAGUCAAAGAGAGGAGCGACAGCACGAGCAUCAAGAGGUCUCCGAAAUAAGCCACCCCCGGACAGAAAAUCCAUCAAACGAAGAGAAGGAACAUUUAAGGAAGGGAGAGCCAAAAAAGAAAUCAAAGACAAGACGUACAGAAACAAGAAGAAGGAACCUGAAGCGGGCCCAGGGGAGGAAGAUGAGGAUGACGGAGAGCCGGAGGAAGAGUCAGGGAGUCAAAGGCUGGAUGGAAAGAAAGAGAAGAGAAAAACUCAAAAGGCAUGA